rnacentral:rRNA from 1 species
UACGUAGGGGGCAAGCGUUGUCCGGAUUUAUUGGGCGUAAAGAGCGUGUAGGCGGCCUGAAAGGUCAGCUGUGAAAACUCGAGGCUCAACCUCGAGACGUCGGUUGAAACCAUCUGGCUAGAGUCCGGAAGAGGAGUGUGGAAUUCCCGGUGUAGCGGUGAAAUGCGCAGAUAUCAGGAGGAACACCGAUGGCGAAGGCAGGUCUCUGGGCCACUACUGACGCUGAGAAGCGAAAGCAUGGGGAGCGAACAGG